rnacentral:rRNA from 1 species
UGGGGAAUAUUGCACAAUGGGCGCAAGCCUGAUGCAGCCAUGCCGCGUGUAUGAAGAAGGCCUUCGGGUUGUAAAGUACUUUCAGCGGGGAGGAAGGGAGUAAAGUUAAUACCUUUGCUCAUUGACGUUACCCGCAGAAGAAGCACCGGCUAACUCCGCGCCAGCAGCCGCGGUAAUACGGAGGGUGCAAGCGUUAAUCGGAAUUACUGGGCGUAAAGCGCACGCAGGCGGUUGGUUAAGUCAGAUGUGAAAUCCCCGGGCUCAACCUGGGAACUGCAUCUGAUACUGGCAAGCUUGAGUCUCGUAGAGGGGGGUAGAAUUCCGGGUGUAGCGGUGAAAUGCGUAGAGAUCUGGAGGAAUACCGGUGGCGAAGGCGGCCCCCUGGACGAAGACUGACGCGCAGGUGCGAAAGCGUGGGGAGCAAACAGG